AUCCAGUUGAUGAGUCCGAAAUGGGACGAAACGCACGUCGAACUGAAU
rfam:Schistosoma mattheei strain Denwood, Zambia genome assembly, scaffold: SMTD_contig0006635